AUCGAAUAUUUAUCAAGGAAGAGUAAAUCAUUGAUUAAUGAUAGAGAGUGCAUGGUUGGUGUAAAUGCAUAUUAAUGAUGAUUGAAGGUAGCCUUAAAUUGAACGUUAAUUGAAACUAAGUAGGUUAAUGCGUGUGCGAGCGAUAAUCGUUAGAGUGCAAUAUAAGUGAUUAUAUUGAAUUUAGGUGGUACCACGGUUUAACCCGUCCUAUUU
rnacentral:ncRNA from 1 species